UACGUAGGGUGCGAGCGUUAAUCGGAAUUACUGGGCGUAAAGCGUGCGCAGGCGGUUUUGUAAGACAGAUGUGAAAUCCCCGGGCUCAACCUGGGAAUUGCGGUUGAAACUGGCGAACUAGAAUCUGGCAGAGGGGGGUGGAAUUCCACGUGUAGCAGUGAAAUGCGUAGAGAUGUGGAGGAACACCGAUGGCGAAGGCAGCCCCCUGGGCUGAGAUUGACGCUCAGGCACGAAAGCGUGGGGAGCAAACAGG
rnacentral:rRNA from 1 species